rnacentral:rRNA from 1 species
UACGGAGGGGGCAAGCGUUGUCCGGAUUUAUUGGGCGUAAAGAGCUCGUAGGUGGUUCGGUAAGUCGGAUGUGAAAUCUCCAGGCUCAACCUGGAGGGGUCAUUCGAUACUGCCGUGACUAGAGGUCGGUAGGGGAGUGUGGAAUUCCUGGUGGAGCGGUGAAAUGCGCAGAUAUCAGGAGGAACACCCGUAGCGAAGGCGGCACUCUGGGCCGAUACUGACACUGAGGAGCGAAAGCGUGGGGAGCGAACAGG